GGGGCAGGGGCAGGAACUGGUGGAAGAGCUGACAGCAAGGGGAGUGGCCAAACGGAGGCGGGGCCUGGAAGGGGGCGUGGCUUGCGGGCCUCUGGGCCGCCCGGCCUCUUUAGGUGCCGCAGCGGAAGGCCUGGAGCAGAGGCUGCUUCUCCGCCCAAGCACUCCCUGGCGAGCCCAGGCCCUCCCGAGGAGCAGAGAAUGGAAGGAAACCAAGUUUUGUCCUGCGAGUCCUCGCCCUCUGCAGGAAGAGGAUGUGUGGCCUCUCCUCUCAAUGGAGCUCCUUCUGGCCACCUUUGCAUACCUUUGAUUAUUCAUGAAGGAUUGUCAUUGAAAAGGACCCAUCCCCCUCGGGAGGCAGAUGUGCUUAUAACUUGCACCUCCCCUCCCUACAUAUUCCAAACCAGGAGGAUUUCUUAACCUUAACCCAUUUGUUGAAGAAGGGCAAGAAAAUGUGCUCCAAUCACAGGAAGAUGCUUCCUCCCAAGCUGAGCGAGACAAAAGAG
rnacentral:lncRNA from 10 species